AAAACAUGGUUUUUUGAUAAUAAUUUAAAAUUUAAUCUGCCCACUGAAAAUUUAAAUGGCCGCAGUAUUUUGACUGUGCAAAGGUAGCAUAAUCAUUUGUUUCUUAAUUAGGAACUAGUAUGAAUGAUUGGACGAGGUAUUUACUGUCUCAUUUUAAUAUUAUAAUAAAAUUUUAAUUUUUAGUUAAAAUGCUAAAAUUUUAUUAAAAGACGAGAAGACCCUAUAGAGUUUUAUUAAAUACAUAUAUAAUAUUUUUUAAGUUAAAAUAAUUUUUAUUUAGAACUUUAAUUUUAUUGGGGUGAUAGAAAAAUUUAAAUAACUUUUUAUGAUUAUUUCAUUAAUUUAUGUAUAAUUUAUUUUUUGAUCUUAUAAUUUAAAAAUAAAAGAUUAAAUUACCUUAGGGAUAACAGCGUUAUUAUUUUGGAGAGUUCAAAUCAAUAAAAUAGAUUGCGACCUCGAUGUUGAAUUAAGAAAAAUAUUUGGUGAAAAAGUUAAAUGAUUAGGUCUGUUCGACCUUUAAAUUCUUACAUGAUCUGA
rnacentral:rRNA from 1 species